GACGUAGGGGGCGAGCGUUGUCCGGAUUUAUUGGGCGUAAAGCGUGCGUAGGCGGCUGCGCAAGUCGGUUGUGAAACCCCGGGGCUCAACCCCCGGAACUGCAUCCGAUACUGCGUGGCUAGAGGUAGGUAGGGGAGAUCGGAAUUCCUGGUGUAGCGGUGAAAAUGCGCAGAUAUCAGGAGGAACACCGGUGGCGAAGGCGGAUCUCUGGGCCUUACCUGACGCUCAGGCACGAAAAGCUAGGGGGAGCAACAGGAUUAGAUACCCCCCAGU
rnacentral:rRNA from 1 species